rnacentral:rRNA from 1 species
GAUGAACGCUGGCGGCGUGCCUAAUACAUGCAAGUCGAGCGAACAGACGAGGAGCUUGCUCCUCUGACGUUAGCGGCGGACGGGUGAGUAACACGUGGAUAACCUACCUAUAAGACUGGGAUAACUUCGGGAAACCGGAGCUAAUACCGGAUAAUAUAUUGAACCGCAUGGUUCAAUAGUGGAAGACGGUUUUGCUGUCACUUAUAGAUGGAUCCGCGCCGCAUUAGCUAGUUGGUAAGGUAACGGCUUACCAAGGCAACGAUGCGUAGCCGACCUGAGAGGGUGAUCGGCCACACUGGAACUGAGACACGGUCCAGACUCCUACUGGAGGCAGCAGUAGGGAAUCUUCCGCAAUGGGCGAAAGCCUGACGGAGCAACGCCGCGUGAGUGAUGAAGGUCUUCGGAUCGUAAAACUCUGUUAUUAGGGAAGAACAAAUGUGUAAGUAACUAUGCACGUCUUGACGGUACCUAAUCAGAAAGCCACGGCUAACUACGUG